GGAUGUGAGGGCGAUCUGGCUGCAACAUCUGUCACCCCAUUGAUCGCCAGGGUUGAUUCGGCUGAUCUGGCUGGCUAGGCAGGUGUCCCCUUCCUCCCUCACCACUCCAUGCGCGUCCCUCCCAAAGCUGUGCGCUCGGUGGAAGAGGACGACCAUCCCAGAUAGAAGGAGUGUGCCGUUCUUCGGUCAAGGGUAUACUUAA